rnacentral:snRNA from 1 species
UGAGUCAAAAGUAGCUGGUAAA